ACUGACAACUGAGAGGGUGGAAGAGGAGAGAAGAAAAGGCUGCUGCAGAGACAGGAGCACAGGAACCCACAGUUGAUAGAGAGCCUGGGAGCAAAGGAAAGGAAGGAAGCAAAACAAAAAGACGAAUGCAGCAGGACCUCCAUUAGCCAGCCAGCUUGGGGAAUGGGUCAUUAUGGUUAAUGGAAGUUUCUAGUUAACUGUGAAUGAAGCCAAAAUCUUUUUUGUCUUAACCCCUUAAUUUAGAAAAGCUUUCCACAAAAUGUGACUUCACUUUCUUAUCUCUGUUACAGAUGGGGACUAUGAGAUCUUACGGCAUCUCAAAGGGCAGAAGUCUGGACAGGAAGACCAGUUGCAUAGUGGAGGGAAGUAUCCUAACCUGGAUUAAAUAUAUGCUGAAUUCCUCUGUUUAUCCUAAAAGCUAAAUCCCUGAUAUAAACUUGCUUUUUCAUGUUUUUAUGAUUUAGCUUUAUUUUAGGGAUUUAACUUUAUUUUAACCAUGGGUUACUGAGAAUUUUUGUUAAAGUUUAAUGGCAUUGUGUACUCCUAUUCACUCUUCAGAAUCUCAGUUCAAUAUCACUUCCUCCAUGAAGCCUUCCUGAUUACUUUUUCCUUUCUUCCCUCAGGCCCUCCCAGUUAUUUCCCUCUCUAAGGAGCAUACUAUGUUUAAAUAAUUUGUUAACAUGAGCUACAGGGGGCAGGUGGUUGAGGGAGGGCUUUCUCUGUGAGUCUGCUUAUUAAGAAGCUGAGCUCCCAGUCCUUGCCUUGUGAUAAUAAUCAAGCCCCAUUACUUGAGAGCUCGCAGAGGGCAGAAAACAAGGGCUGCUUCACUGUUACAUGCACAGGCCAUGGCCUGAAACAAGGAAGGGAAGGAGGGAGAAAACAACGGGAGGACAAAUUCUAUAAACAGGUCAGAGGAGAGGGAGAGACAUUAUUUAUCAGCUUGGUGAUUUCAACUUAAUUCUGAGAAGACUUAAUCCAUGUCUGUUUCCCUCUGGUCUGUAAAACAAAAUGCCUCCUACAAUGUUUCUGAGUUGUUUCACAACUCAGGAAGACGAUAUUUCUCUUUGCCAUAAGACAAUACAUUUCCUAAACGUACUGUAGUGGGUAAGGGUAGGGUGGGAGUUUAAAAAAGAAAAUCAGUCAGCAGCUAUGAAGAGCCAAAAGGACACAGUGUCAGAUCUGUGGAAAUUGAACCUAAGGAUAGAUCUGAGACCAACAAGAGUUAAAUGGUCAACUCCACUCAACAUUUGCUGAGUCUCUAUUCUGUGGGCCCUAAUAGAAAGUCACCAAAACAGUUCUUGAGGGGUCAGGACCUAUUGCUGAGAGUGGCAAGUCAGGAGUAAAGCAAAAAGAGGGCAGGACUGGCCUCAUGUCCAGUUGCACAGCCCUGGUUGUGCCAUGUCUCUGGGCUGGGAGACAGCUGCCUGGCCACUGGCCCUUGGGCCAUUAAAAACACAGGGCCACAGAAGGAGCAGGCAGGGCUCAUAUCUGGGGGAUUAGCUCCAUCUGCCCUGAGUGCAGUGGAAACCGUGCAUCCUUCCUCUUCCCUGGGCCUCAUCCUGGUGCCUGCCCCCAGCAGUCCCUGGCAGCCUCAUGUCCACCUGGCCAUGAUGUCAGGUCUAUUUAAGCCAGGGACCUGGUGAUCCUUUCCACAGCCCACUGGGAAGGCCUAUGUGUUGCUGAAAAACAAAUAAACCAACAGCUCUCUGUCACCAUGGGUUCUACAGACCUGGGGAUACACGGCAAAGGCCUGUCGUGGAGGUUGUAACUCUUUGUCCUUUAGGAUUCCCAAGGUAGACCACGUGUGUGCCAGCCCAGCAGGCAAACUGCCCCGUAUGAGUUUGUCCAUCAACUGUGCGUGCAGAUCUUUACUCGCAUGCAUGACACAGGAAGCCCACGGGACACUUCCCCAGCACGCCCCGCUUCCUCUGCACUCCUGGAAGGAAGACCUGUUCUUGCUUCUUCCGUACUCUCAGGAUCUGGCACAGAACCCGACAAAGGAAAUAUUUAAUGAACUAUGGCGUAGGCCUGGCCCUGAACGACACCCUGGGGACCCAGCAGCAGCAAGGUGCAGCUUCUGCCCUCAGCAACCUCACGGUCUAAUGGACGCGGCACAGUGGGCAGGAAGUGACACCAAAGAGCAUCAGGAUUAGGAAGUCUGUUCGGAUUAGCAUGGAAUCAGAGUCUCCCUGCCCUGGGAAUCAUUGCUGGCCAUGGCAGUUGCUGAGACUGGGAGCUAAAAGGUGCAUCUGAGUUGGAGUCUUGUCAUGUUCCUUCAGGUGUGUGUUGGACCAAGCUGCCUACCAUGUGUACGCAUACUGCCCACACAUGUGGUUAGCACCCUGGAUGGUUCGAUUCCAUGUCAGCUUGGCUGUUGGUGGGAAGUGGAUGAGUGGUCCAUGGUGAGUUCACUCAUUUCAAAAUGGCAGCCUGUGUUUACUAAUGGAUCGAGGCCUCUUGGGUUUUUCUAAUUGACUGAGGCCAUUAUUUCUCUCUAGCACUCAAUUCCGGGGGUAACUAGAAGUGAUGACUUAUAAUCAAAUUUAGGAUUUUUAUCUUUCAUUUAUUAUUAUUAUAUUCAAAUUUAGAAUUAUUAUCCUAUUCGUUGCAGUUUCACUUUGUCUUAUAUCUGUCUUCUACACAGGCCUUAACAAUAUAGUUGUUUCUGACUGGUUCACUAGAGAAGCCUUGGUAUGAGUCAAGGGUGGGAUGUCUUCCUCAGCCUGUCAUGGAAAGAUUCCCAUGAAUCUUCUUCAGGAGGGCAGGUGGUCAUGUUUCUGGCCCACCAGCUCUGAUGGUUGCACUAUCUAGGGCCCAUUAAGCUGCCUUAGAAGAGCUUGGCACUGCAGGAGGUAGGGCCGAGUAUCCUGUUUAUUGAGGGCCAGAAAGCCCUUUCAGAGCCUAUUCUUCUCAUCUGCACACUUUCAGCAGACUCUCUGGAGCAGCCCAGCUUCCCAGAACUGAGAUCACUAAACCAAGAAGAGGAGGCACCUUGGACCUGGGUAAAGGCUCCUUUCCAAGCUACUGCACAAAGAGGCCCAGGAGAAAUCAAAAGAUCAUGGACUGUUUUUGCUAUUGCAUGUGUUCCACCUUCAGUAUGGACUGUUGCCCUCCUUGCAGGUACUUCCCUUUAACUUUUCUUUUUGGCUAAGAUCCUUUGCAAUGUAUUGUAGAACUUCUGCCUGCCAGAUGUUUUCCCCUAAAGUCUACAUCAAUGUCAGUAGUCUAUUCUUAUGGAUUCAAUAAUUCAUUACAAUUCUGAACUGGAUUUGCAGGAUCACUCUAUUAUUAUAAAGGAGAGAAAACCCUAUACCAAAAGGGGCAAUGCAUGUAGCAUUUUUUCUUUUUUUGAAACAUGU
ensembl:lncRNA novel transcript